GUCGAUGUAUUUAUUUACAUGGCGGACGGCUGAGUACCACGUUGGUACCUGCCCCGGACUCGGGGAUAGUCUCCGGAAACGGAGUUUAAUACCCGAUAGUUCUCUUCGGAGUAAAGAUCUUUCGGUCCGGGAGGGGCCUGCGCCCGAUUAGCUUGUUGGUGAGGUAACGGCUCACCAAGGCUACGAUCGGUAGGUGGUCUGAGAGGAUGAUCACCCAGACUGGGACUGAGACACGGCCCAGACUCCUACGGGAGGCAGCAGUGAGGAAUCUUGCACAAUGGGGGAAACCCUGAUGCAGCGACGCCGCGUGGAGGAAGACGGCCUUCGGGUUGUAAACUCCUUUUAGGUGGGACGAACAUUGACGGUACCACCUGAAUAAGGACUGGCUAACCAUGUGCCAGCAGCCGCGGUAAUACAUAGAGUCCAAACGUUAUCCGGAUUUACUGGGCGUAAAGCGUCCGUAGGUGUUCCUGUAAGUCUUCGGUGAAAUCUCCGGGCUCAACUCGGAAAUUGUCGAGGAAACUGCAGGAAUUGAGUACGGCAGAGGCAGAUGGAAUUCUUGGUGUAGGGGUAAAAUCCGUUGAUAUCAAGAAGAACACCAGUGGCGAAGGCGAUCUGCUGGGCCGUUACUGACACUGAGGGACGAAAGCGUGGGGAGCGAACGGGAUUAGAUACCCCGGUAGUCCACGCUGUAAACGAUGGGUGCUAGGCAUCCGAGGAAUAGACCCCUUGGGUGUCGAAGCUAACGCGUUAAGCACCCCGCCUGGGGAGUACGAGCGCAAGCUUAAAACUCAAAGGAAUUGACGGGGGGCCGCACAAGCGGUGGAGCGUGUGGUUUAAUUCGACGCUAAGCGAAGAACCUUACCAGGGCUUGACAUCCCGGUCGUAUCCCGUGGAAACACGGGAGUCAGUUCGGCUGGAUCGGUGACAGGUGCUGCAUGGUCGUCGUCAGCUCGUGCCGUGAGAUGUUGGGUUAAGUCCCGCAACGAGCGCAACCCUCGUCGUAUGUUGUAUUUUUCAUACGAGACUGCCUCGGUUAACGAGGAGGAAGGCGGGGAUGACGUCAGAUCAGCAUGGCCCUUAUGCCCUGGGCGACACACGCGCUACAAUGGCCGGCACAAUGGGACGCGAAACCGCAAGGUGGAGCUAAUCCCAUCAAAGCCGGUCUCAGUUCGGAUUGGAGGCUGCAACUCGCCUCCAUGAAGUCGGAAUCGCUAGUAAUCGCGGAUCAGCCACGCCGCGUGAAUACGUUCUCGGCCCUUGUACACACCG
rnacentral:rRNA from 1 species